rnacentral:rRNA from 1 species
AGGAGAGGGAGCCUGAGAAACGGCUACCACAUCCAAGGAAGGCAGCAGGCGCGCAAAUUACCCACUCUCGGCACGAGGAGGUAGUGACGAAAAAUAACGAGACGGAUCUCUUUGAGGCCCGUUAUCGGAAUGAGAACAAUUCAAAUCCUUUAACGAGGAUCUAGCGGAGGGCAAGUCUGGUGCCAGCAGCCGCGGUAAUUCCAGCUCCGCAGGUGUAUAUCUAUGCUGCUGCGGUUAAAAAGCUCGUAGUUGGAUCUGCGUGCUCGGAACUGGUUGGCUCACUGAGUUCAAACUGGUCUCCGGCGCUUUAUUGGCUGGUUUUCCCUUGAUGCUCUUAACCGGGUGUCUUGGGUGGCUAGCACGUUUACUUUGAAAAAAUUAGAGUGCUCAAUACAGGCGCAAAGCCUUGAAUAGUGGUGCAUGGAAUAAUAGAAUAGGACCUCGGCUCUAUUUUGUUGGUUUUCGGAACGCGAGGUAAUGAUUAAGAGGGACAGACGGGGGCAUUCGUAUUGCGACGUUAGAGGUGAAAUUCUUGGAUCGUCGCAAGACGGACGACUGCGAAAGCAUUUGCCAAGAAUGUUUUCAUUAAUCAAGAACGAAAGUUAGAGGUUCGAAGGCGAUCAGAUACCGCCCUAGUUCUAACCGUAAACGAUGCCAACUAGCGAUUCGCAGGCGUUAAACAACGACCUUGCGGGCAGCUUCCCGGAAACGAAAGUGUUCGGGUUCCGGGGGAAGUAUGGUUGCAAAGCUGAAACUUAAGGGAAUUGACGGAAGGGCACCACCAGGAGUGGAGCCUGCGGCUUAAUUUGACCCAACACGGGAAAACUCACCCGGCCCGGACACCGUAAGGAUUGACAGAUUGAGAGCUCUUUCUUGAUUCGGUGGGUGGUGGUGCAUGGCCGUUCUUAGUUGGUGGAGCGAUUUGUCUGGUUUAUUCCGAUAACGAACGAGACUCUGGCCUACUAAAUAGUGGGCGGAUUCUUUCUGUCCGCAACACUUCUUAGAGGGACAAGCGGUGUUCAGCCGCACGAGAUUGAGCAAUAACAGGUCUGUGAUGCCCUUAGAUGUCCGGGGCUGCACGCGCGCUACACUGAAGGAAUCAGCGUGCUUUCUGACCUUGCCCGAAAGGGCUGGGUAACCCGAUGAAAAUCCUUCGUGAUUGGGAUAGGGACUUGCAAUUAUUUCCCUUGAACGAGGAAUUCCCAGUAAGUGUGGGUCAUAAGCUCGCGUUGAUUACGUCCCUGCCCUUUGUACACACCGCCCGUCGCUGCCCGGAACUGAGCCGUUUCGAGAAGAACAGGGACCGUCGUUGAAGGGCCUUAACGGGCUUUUCUCUGAUAGAAACUGUUUUAAUCGCAGUGGCUUGAACCGGGCAAAAGUCGUAACAAGGUU